GACGAACCGUGCGAACGUUGUUCGGAAUCACUGGGCUUAAAGGGCGCGUAGGCGGGCAAGCAAGUCUGGGGUGAAAUCUUUCGGCUUAACCGGAAAAGUGCCUUGGAUACUGCAUGUCUCGAGGGAGGUAGGGGCAGAUGGAACUUCCGGUGGAGCGGUGAAAUGCGUUGAUAUCGGAAGGAACGCCGGUGGCGAAAGCGAUCUGCUGGAUCUCAUCUGACGCUGAGGCGCGAAAGCUAGGGGAGCAAACGGG
rnacentral:rRNA from 1 species